CUCAGCCCCGCAUGAACACUUGGACACAUGUGUGUUUUAGGUGCACGCACAGGCUACUUGCACAGGCCCCUCGACGUUGUUAGAGGGUUCAGCGACCGCUAAGGAAUUGUUAUUCAAUUCAGGAAGUUCAGGCUGACUGGAAAGUGCAUAUAAAAAUGCAAUCAUUUUACAAGGAAGAGCCUUUCCACAUACAGGUAACUUGUAUGUGUUACUUUGAAGCAGCUCCUCUGGAAAAGUACCAGUUACCUUAAAAAUAGGUGUGUCAUGGCGGAUCUUAAGACUGCCUGUCUGUGGUGUUUGGAGAACUCCGGGGAUCUUCUUGGCUCAGUUCAGCUAUCUCGUAUACUGUGCAUGGGUGUUCUUCAGUCCAGGGUUCAUAGAGGACAAUCUUGUAGAGCCGCUGAUAUUUGUUUUUACAUUUAUGCAGGACAUUUUGGAAUAAUACAACUAAGGCCCUGUUCCAUUUGGGAACACAGCGCACUUCAUGUGGACUUGAGGUCUCGUGGACUUAAAUUGCGCGUUCUCGCCAAGUCUACGAGUCCGUAGAGUGUCUCAUUUGUCUUUUUAGCGCUCAGAAGUCUGCUCGCGAGCGCCUCCUUUGGCCCUGUCCCAAAUGGUGCACUUCAUGUGGACUUGCGGUCUCGUGGACUUAAAUUGCGCGUUCUCGCCAAGUCUACGAGUCCGUAGAGUGUCCCAUUUGUCUUUAUAGCGCUCAUAAGUCUGCUCGCGAGCACCUCCUUUGUGCCCUCGACACGGUCUUCGGCGAAGCCCGCAUUAAUGCAGACUCCACUGAAGUCCCCUACCCAGGAAUCCUUGCGAACGCCCAAUCACUGAACGGAUGGGAGGAGUGUCGUGGAUGUCAGACAUAUACGUAAACAUAUCUCUUUUGUUGAUUUUUAAGACAUUUUAUAAGUUUAUUAAUAUAACUGACAAAAUGGUCUUGUUUUUGGAUUGUGAUAGGCUACUAGUUCUUUGGAAAUAGAUAAUAUUCUUAAAAUUCUUAUUCUACUUGUAAAAUUUACUGUGUAAAUUAUUUGCUCAAAUUGCCUGAAUGGCGUCAUGGAAACGCAAUUAUCCUGGCCAUUAAACUUAAAUUAAACCCCGAAAUAUCAUUGCAAAUUAUAUCUAAUAUGCAUUUUCACAAUGACGGUAAGGGGUACCCGAAGGGCGCCGACCGAGCGUAAAUAUGUGACGAGUUGGGAGUGAGGAUGUGUUGAAACAACAGGUUGCAGAUACGAUGCAAGUCAGAUUCAUUUAUUAUAAUGGAAGUUUAAUGCAGUCAACUUCAUUCAUUAUAACACGACAUUAUAACUGCA